UAUAUAUAUAUAUAUAUAUAUAUAUAUAUAUAUAUUCCAUGGAUUUCUACGUACCCCUUUGUCUUUUCCAGUCAAGCCUUAGCCUAGAACUUAUUUAAUCGAUGUUCCUUCUUCAGGGUAUAUUUUCUCGUCGUAUAAUCUGAUCUCAGAUGUAUUACCCUUUGCUGAAAUUUACGCUGCUUUUACAAAAUUACCCCCUACUUUCCCCACACUUCCACGUGAAACUACUCUCUCUUUCUGGGUCUGUUCUCAUAAUCUCAUCUGCAUAUAUUGUUCUCUGUAAAGAAACCAAAUAAGGGUGAACUGAUGAAGUUUUGAAUAGAAGGAAGAUAACUGAUAUCGUUUGGGUGGAGACGAAGGCUAUCAAACUCUAUUUUCUCAUGAAGCUGGCCGGGUUUAUUAAAAAGAGAGAAUCAAGGUGCAGAGCAGUACUCCUUAAAAAAAAUGUACAGAGCAGUUGAAUCCAAUCUCCUCCCUAAUUUCAUUUCUUCUUUGCCAUCUAUGCUAUCCACUUCAACUCAAUCUUCUACCAUAAAUAAAUAAAUAACUGCAUCAUUAUCUCCGUCAAACACACCCAGCAAACCAAACAAAUCCUAUUUGGA
rnacentral:lncRNA from 1 species